rnacentral:rRNA from 1 species
GCGAUACAAGACUUCGGUCAAGUUGAACGGAUGACUUAGUGGCGGACGGGUGAGUAACGCGUGAGGAACCUGCCUUUCAGUGGGGGACAACAGUUGGAAACGACUGCUAAUACCGCAUAAUGUAUUCUGACCGCAUGAUCGGAAUACCAAAGAUUUAUUGCUGAAAGAUGGCCUCGCGUCUGAUUAGAUAGUUGGUGAGGUAACGGCCCACCAAGUCGACGAUCAGUAGCCGGACUGAGAGGUUGAACGGCCACAUUGGGACUGAGAUACGGCCCAGACUCCUACGGGAGGCAGCAGUGGGGAAUAUUGGGCAAUGGGGGAAACCCUGACCCAGCAACGCCGCGUGAAGGAAGAAGGCUUUCGGGUUGUAAACUUCUUUUACCAGGGACGAAGGACGUGACGGUACCUGGAGAAAAAGCCACGGCUAACUACGUGCCAGCAGCCGCGGUAAUACGUAGGUGGCAAGCGUUGUCCGGAUUUACUGGGUGUAAAGGGCGUGUAGGCGGAGAAGCAAGUCAGAAGUGAAAUCCAUGGGCUUAACCCAUGAACUGCUUUUGAAACUGUUUCCCUUGAGUAUCGGAGAGGCAGGCGGAAUUCCUAGUGUAGCGGUGAAAUGCGUAGAUAUUAGGAGGAACACCAGUGGCGAAGGCGGCCUGCUGGACGACAACUGACGCUGAGGCGCGAAAGCGUGGGGAGCAAACAGGAUUAGAUACCCUGGUAGUCCACGCUGUAAACGAUGAAUACUAGGUGUGGGAGGACUGACCCCUUCCGUGCCGCAGUUAACACAAUAAGUAUUCCACCUGGGGAGUACGAUCGCAAGAUUGAAACUCAAAGGAAUUGACGGGGGCCCGCACAAGCAGUGGAUUAUGUGGUUUAAUUCGACGCAACGCGAAGAACCUUACCGGGAUUUGACAUCCUACUAACGAAGUAGAGAUACAUUAGGUGCCCUUCGGGGAAAGUAGAGACAGGUGGUGCAUGGUUGUCGUCAGCUCGUGUCGUGAGAUGUUGGGUUAAGCCCCGCAACGAGCGCAACCCCUAUUGUUAGUUGCUACGCAAGAGCACU